rnacentral:lncRNA from 1 species
UGCAGGUCAAGUUCAGCCUCUCUGUCCACCUUCUGCGAGUGCUCUCCAGCCACUACACACAGGGCAGUCGGUGGGCAGCAUUGGCAGACUGAAGAGCCUGGUUGGAGAUAACUGGUGCAGAGUGGGAGUGGGAGGUUAUCCUAAUCUGGAGAACUGUUCCUCAGACCCUUCUGCUAGGAGAAAACGCCUUUUCUGCCCCUCUAAAGCCA